rfam:Herpes simplex virus type 2 (strain HG52), complete genome
CGGCCGGCGCGCUCUCGACCGCGGUUCCCGAGUCGUACGCAGGGACCAUUUGGGAGUCUGCGGUUGGGAGCGCGCCGGGGC